UACAGAGGGUGCGAGCGUUAAUCGGAAUUACUGGGCGUAAAGCGUGCGUAGACGGUUAUUUAAGUCGGAUGUGAAAGCCCCGGGCUCAACCUGGGAAUUGCAUUCGAGACUGAAUAGCUAGGGUGCGGUAGAGGGAAGCGGAAUUUCCGGUGUAGCGGUGAAAUGCGUAGAUAUCGGAAGGAACAUCAGUGGCGAAAGCGGCUUCCUGGACCAGCACCGACGUUCAGGCACGAAAGCGUGGGGGGCAAACAGG
rnacentral:rRNA from 1 species